CAGGAAGCAGUGGAGCGCAGUAGAAGGGGCGGAGCCAAUCAGAGAAGGCCAGGCACCGCGGGCCAGCAUAGAAAAGAGUGGAGAGGAAGCUUUGUUGCCGCCAUUUUACAUACAAGCACCGCGCGUUUCGGGUGUUGCUAACGUGUGCUUGUUGCAAAACUCGGCGUGUUUUGAGCCUUAGUGGAGAUUUUGGAGGCCUCAGCGACUUUUUUAUUGAACGGGCAAUAUCUAGUAUCGGACGAGUGUCGUGUUGACCGCCUGAGCGGUAGCUGUGUGAGAAAAUGAGCUACGGUAGGCCGCCGCCAGACGUCGAGGGGAUGACCUCCCUCAAAGUGGACAACCUGACUUACCGAACCUCGCCGGAAACCCUUCGCCGGGUUUUCGAGAAGUACGGCCGGGUCGGGGAUGUCUACAUACCCCGGGACAGGUACACAAAGGAGAGUCGUGGCUUCGCCUUCGUGCGCUUCCACGACAAACGCGACGCCGAGGACGCCAUGGACGCCAUGGACGGCGCGACUCUCGACGGAAGGGAUCUCCGGGUGCAGAUGGCCCGCUACGGGCGACCGCCUGACUCCAUGUACAGCCGAAGAGGAGCUCCGCCGCGCAGAUACGGCGGGCGUUCAGCAAGCCCUCGUCGCCGCAGACGCAGCCGUUCCAGGAGCAGGAGCCGCUCCCGAUCCAGGAGCCGCCGUCGCUACUCCAGAUCCAGGUCCCGCUCCUACUCCAGAUCCAGGUCGCGAUCCAGGUCCAAGUCUAAAUCCAAGUCCAGGACUCCGAGGAGGAGCAAGUCAAAGUCGCCAUCUCGCUCCCGAUCCAAGUCGAGGAGUCGGACCCCGGCUUCCAACCGAGGGUCCAGAUCCAGGUCCAAAUCCAAGAGCCGACCCAAGUCUCCGGAGGACAACGGAAGAGAGUCUUAAGUUGGACGCGACAUGACGAUCUCAGAUGAUUGAUCCUUUUCCCGAGGACACCAGGAAGAGUCUUACAAUGGGCAUGUGGACACCCUUGCCACUGAAUGCAGACUGAAAGGCGCAGUUGUGUAGCAGUUGAGUAAUGCUGGUUAGCUGUUAAGAUGCGGUGCAGUGCGGUGGUGACAUGGUGUGGCGUGUUGCGGUGCUGAGUGCCCGGCAGUGUUCCGGGGCUCGACCCUCCGCUGCUGUUUGCCGGUUUGUAAGCUCACAAGUGUGACAGCUCAUCUAUCCCUCCACCCCACCCCCCACCCCGUCCCCCACCCUCUCUCCUUGUCUUGUUCCCUCUGAUUGCCCUCUUGUGUCCAUCCUUACUCUGCCCCUGUCUGGUUCAUCAUUGGGUUUUAGGAAGUGGGUCCAGUUGGCUCACAGUGAGUUUUGACAAAAAAAUGGCUUCCUGAUCACACUUUUUUUUUGUGGAUUGCAUUCCCCUGUUAACCUCUCUGUUUCCGUAUACUUCAGGUGAAUGCUAAUAAAGUUUUUGUUAGAAA